UACGGGGGGGGCAAGCGUUGUUCGGAAUUACUGGGCGUAAAGGGCGCGUAGGCGGCCAUCUAAGUCAGACGUGAAAUCCCUCGGCUCAACCGAGGAACUGCGUCUGAUACUGGAAGGCUUGAAUCCGGGAGAGGGAUGUGGAAUUCCAGGUGUAGCGGUGAAAUGCGUAGAUAUCUGGAGGAACACCGGUGGCGAAGGCGACAUCCUGGACCGGUAUUGACGCUGAGGCGCGAAAGCCAGGGGAGCAAAGCGGG
rnacentral:rRNA from 1 species